CACGGGGGGAGCAAGCGUUGUUCGGAAUCACUGGGCGUAAAGGGCGUGCAGGCGGUCAGGUAAGUGGGAUGUGAAAUGCCCCGGCUCACCCGGGGACCGGCAUCUCAUACUGCUUGGCUUGAGUACGGGAGAGGAUGUGGGAAUUCCUGGUGCAGCGGUGAAAUGCGUAGAUAUCAGGAGGAACACCGGUGGCGAAGGCGGGUCUCUGGGCAACAACUGACGCUGAGGAGCGAAAGCGUGGGGAGCGAACAGG
rnacentral:rRNA from 1 species